rnacentral:rRNA from 1 species
GAUGAACGCUGGCGGCGUGCUUAACACAUGCAAGUCGAACGGAAAGACGCGGAGCUUGCUUGUCUGUUGUUAGCCGCGCACGUGAGUGAAACGCGUGUAUCCCGUACCUGUCUGUCUGGGAUCACCAGGGGACACCGGAGCUAAUACGAUAUGAGAUUUUGAACCGCGUGGGUCGAAGGAAAGUUUCGGCCUUGGUGUCUGGAAUAGCUGGUUACGCGCUGGAUUGGCUGGUUGGUAAGGUCACGGCCUACCAAGGCUACGAUGCAUAGCCGAGCGGAGAGGGUGAUCGGCCACACUGGAACUGAGACACGGCCCAGACUCCUACGGGAGGCAGCAGUAGGGAAUGUGAGGCAACGGUCGCAAGCCUGACCCAGCAAGGCCGCGUGAGUGAUGAAGGCCUUGGGAUCGUAAACCCCGUUUAUGAGGUAUGAACAUAUGUCGACUGAAAUGAGGCGUUAGUGACGGUACCUGCUCAAAAAGCACCGGCUAACUACGUG